AUUGAACGCUGGCGGCAUGCUUUACACAUGCAAGUCGAACGGUAACAGGCCGCAAGGUGCUGACGAGUGGCGAACGGGUGAGUAAUGCAUCGGAACGUGCCCAGUCGUGGGGGAUAACGCAGCGAAAGCUGCGCUAAUACCGCAUACGAUCUAUGGAUGAAAGCGGGGGCCCGUAAGGCCUCGCGCGAUUGGAGCGGCCGAUGUCAGAUUAGGUAGUUGGUGGGGUAAAGGCGCACCAAGCCAACGAACUGUAGCUGGUCUGAGAGGACGCCCAGCCAACCCUGGAGUUAGACACGGCCCAGACGCCUACGGGAGGCAGGAGUGGGGAAUUUAGGACCAUGGGCGCAAGUCUGAUCCAGCAAUGUCGCGAGAAGGAUGAAGGGCUUCGGGUUGUCAACAGCUUUGGUACGAAACGAAACGGUCCGAGUUAGUACCCUGGGCUAAGGACGGUACCGUAAGAAUGAGCACCGGCUAACUACGUGCCAGCCGCCGCAGUAACAC
rnacentral:rRNA from 1 species